CCUACGGGUGGCAGCAGUGAGGAAUAUUGGUCAAUGGGCGCGAGCCUGAACCAGCCAAGUCGCGUGAGGGAAGACGGCCCUACGGGUUGUAAACCUCUUUUGCCGGGGAGCAACGGGGGCCACGUGUGGCGCCACUGAGAGUACCCGGAGAAAAAGCAUCGGCAAACUCCGUGCCAGCCGCCGCGGUAAUACGGAGGAUGCGAGUGUUAUGCGGAUUUAGUGGGUUAAAGGGGAGCGUUGGCGGAGCGUUCAGUCAGUGGUCAAAUUGAGGGGCUCAACCCCUUCCCGCCAUUGAAACUGGCGCUCUUGAGUGGAAGAGAAGUAUGCGGAAUGCGUGGUGUAGCGGUGAAAUGCAUAGAUAUCACGCAGAACCCCGAUUGCGAAGGCAGCAUGCCGGCUUCCUACUGACGCUGAAGCACGAAAGCGUGGGGAUCGAACAGGAUUAGAUACCCCAGUAGUC
rnacentral:rRNA from 1 species